rnacentral:rRNA from 1 species
AUUGAACGCUGGCGGCAGGCUUAACACAUGCAAGUCGAGCGGAGAUGAGGUGCUUGCACCUUAUCUUAGCGGCGGACGGGUGAGUAAUGCUUAGGAAUCUGCCUACUAGUGGGGGACAACAUUCCGAAAGGAAUGCUAAUACCGCAUACGCCCUACGGGGGAAAGCAGGGGAUCUUCGGAACUUGCGCUAAUAGAUGAGCCUAAGUCGGAUUAGCUAGUUGGUGGGGUAAAGGCCUACCAAGGCGACGAUCUGUAGCGGGUCUGAGAGGAUGAUCCGCCACACUGGGACUGAGACACGGCCCAGACUCCUACGGGAGGCAGCAGUGGGGAAUAUUGGACAAUGGGCGGAAGCCUGAUCCAGCCAUGCCGCGUGUGUGAAGAAGGCCUUUUGGUUGUAAAGCACUUUAAGCGAGGAGGAGGCUACCUGGAUUAAUACUCUAGGAUAGUGGACGUUACUCGCAGAAUAAGCACCGGCUAACUCUGUGCCAGCCGCCGCAGUAAAAC